rnacentral:lncRNA from 1 species
GCUCAGCAAGUGGCUGCUCUGUGUAUUUUAUGUGGGGUUUUGUGCCAUCCUGAGAAACACUGAGACUGCCAAAGUAUUGGUCUGCAGGUUAAGCAAAUUAAAAAAAAAAAAAAAAAGCAAGAGAUAACAUUGACAGGGGCUGGGAAGUCCAAGAACAAAGUGCUGGCCCCUUUAGUUCUAAAUCAUUAAAGAUUCUAACAUAUCUCAAAUUACUAAGAAGAAAAAUAUAAAUAACAUACAAACAGAUUUUCCUGUACAAGGAAGGUAGCCAGCAUAGAUUCUUUUU